CAAUAAAAUGUUAUGGUAAUUAUAGACAUAAAAUGAAUAACAACCAACCAGACAUAUAAAGUGCUUUCAGUGAGAGUAAACCAAUGGGUCUACAAUUUGAACCUUUUGGGCUCUAUAUCUAUUGGAAAGCUUGGUUAAAGAGCCAAGUUUUUAGGUUGUACCAAAAACAUUGGAAAGUGGAGGUGAGCCUAAUUUCCCUUGGGAGGGCAUUCCAGAGCCGGGGUCACUACCGAGAAGAUUGCUGAAAGGUUGUAAGGAUAAUGAAAAAGCUGCCUGUAUCAUUUUAAAUAUUUCUAAGGCUGAAGAACACAACAGGUAGUACAUCAUGAGAUAAGCAUUAUGAUGUAGUGCUUAAAAUGAAAAGUCACUGCUGUGUCAUAAUCACUGUCCUGUGAAUACAAGUCCAUGUUAACCUCCCACACAUCACUUGAAGCAGAUCAUCAUCACCAGUAAAAAAUCAGGCACCUGGCCCCAUUUGGGGCAGAAAUCUGGCACACAGAUGUAAGAUAAAAGAAAAUGUCAAGAUCACGACGAUAUCACAGACAUCGUAGUGCAAAAUCUGGAUGUCGUAAAACGCUUCGGAAAAAAAAUAAGAAGAGAAGUAAGAAAAAAAGACAUGGAGGAGGAGGAGGCCGGUGCACAAAAAGACAAGGACGCUACCAUUAUAGGAGGUGUGUUCUUUACUAAGUUGGCCUGAUUCAAACAAAGGAUCUUUGAUGAUGAGCAGUGACUGCCUGAAAUAAGAUAUCAUCAUCUCCAAUAAGCAACACCAAGGUUGGAGAUCAUUUCCAAUUAAAGCUUCCGUAGUUGAA